CAGAAACGUCGACUCGUGGCCCGUAUUUUACCUCGCGUAAAAGAAUGUGGCGUGAUCCGAACGUAGUGGGGGUCGCCUUCCAGAAAAAACGAAAAAAAUCGAAAGGCGUUCAGAACUUUUCGAGAUGUCGAACCGUCAACACAUGUGGGCAAUCCGGUGGACUUGAUCGGCUUUUUACUUCGAAAGUUGAGUAAUCGGUGUCGCUUUCUUACGCAUCUUUGAACUGUAUAAAUGUUUUAAAAUUGUUUGAUCCAGAAUGUACCACACCGGACAAUCAAGAAGGCAGGUGCCUUGACUACAGAAAAUGUAAACCUCUGCAAGAAAUAUGGCAGAUACAGUACCGUACAGCCACCGAUUUUUAUAGACGAUCAGUGUGCAGAUACCAGGGCAAUGUUACGAUCGUUUGCUGUCCGAACGAUCCAAACAAAGAGAAGAGAGAAAUUUUAAUCAAAACUGUGUAUAAGUAUAAGGCUUUGCGACCACCAUACUGUGGUUUUAGCAACGUCUCUCAUACCAGGGUGGUGGUCGAUGGUAAACCAGCUGAACUUGGUACGUUUUAUGUCUUUCUUUCCGAUUAAUAAUAAGCCAUUUACUGCAAAGAAUGAACUUUAA